UACGGGGGGGGGCAAGCGUUGUUCGGAAUUACUGGGCGUAAAGGCGCGUAGGCGGCCUGCUAAGUCGGACGUGAAAUCCCUCGGCUCAACCGAGGAACUGCGUCCGAUACUGGUGGGCUUGAAUCCGGGAGAGGGAUGUGGAAUUCCAGGUGUAGCGGUGAAAUGCGUAGAUAUCUGGAGGAACACCGGUGGCGAAGGCGGCAUCCUGGGACCGGUAUUGACGCUGAGGCGCGAAAGCUAGGGGAGCAAACGGG
rnacentral:rRNA from 1 species